rnacentral:rRNA from 1 species
AUUGAACGCUGGCGGCAGGCCUAACACAUGCAAGUCGAGCGAGCGGCGGACGGGUGAGUAAUGUCUGGGAAACUGCCUGAUGGAGGGGGAUAAAUACUGGAAACGGUAGCUAAUACAGCAUACCAUCAGCUGAGAACAAAUGGGGUUAGCUAGUCGGUGGGGUAAUGGCUCACCAAGGCGCCGAUCCCUAGCUGGUGUGAGAGGAUUACCAGCCACACUGGAACUGAGCCACGGUCCAGACUCCUACGGGAGGCAGCAGUGGGGAAUAUUGCACAAUGGGCGCAAGCCUGAUGCAGCCAUGCCGCGUGUGUGAAGAAGGCCUUCGGGUUGUAAAGCACUUUCAGCGGGGAGGCGUUACCCGCAGAAGAAGCACCGGCUAACUCCGUGCCAGCAGCCGCGGUAAUAC